rnacentral:tRNA from 1 species
UGAGGUAUGGUGUAAUGGUAGCACAUGGGAUUUUGGUUCCCCCAGUCAGCGUUCGAAUCGCUGUACCUCAACCA